GAAAUGCGAUAAGUAAUGUGAAUUGCGGAAUUCAGUGAAUCUUCGAAUCUUUGAACGCACCUUGCGCUCCUUGGUAUUCCUUGGAGCAUGCCUGUUUGAGUAUCAUGAAAUCUUCAAAGUAAAUCUUUUGUUAACUCAAUUGGUUUCUACUUUGGUAUUGGAGGUCUUUGCAGCUUCACACCUGCUCCUCUUUGUUCAUUAGCUGGAUCUCAGUGUUAUGCUUGGUUCCACUCGGCGUGAUAAGUUAUCUAUCGCUGAGGACACUGUAAAAGGUGGCCAAGGUAAAUGCAGAUGUACCGCUUCUAAUAGUCCAUUGACUUGGACAAUACUUUUAUGAUCUGAUCUCAAAUCAGGUAGGACUACCCGCUGAACUUAAGC
rnacentral:misc_RNA from 1 species